rnacentral:rRNA from 1 species
UACGUAGGGUCCGAGCGUUGUCCGGAAUUACUGGGCGUAAAGAGCUCGUAGGUGGUUUGUCGCGUUGUUCGUGAAAACUCACAGCUCAACUGUGGGCGUGCGGGCGAUACGGGCAGACUUGAGUACUGCAGGGGAGACUGGAAUUCCUGGUGUAGCGGUGGAAUGCGCAGAUAUCAGGAGGAACACCGGUGGCGAAGGCGGGUCUCUGGGCAGUAACUGACGCUGAGGCACGAAGGCGUGGGGAGCAAGCAGG